GGAGAUUGCCUUAGUGGUUCCCAGCAGACUGAAGGCUUCUGUAUGGGAUAUGUGCAACUGAGGCUAAGGCAGUUCCUGUAGUAAACUUCUCCAGUACAGACGAUUGGAUGUUGUCUUACAGAAUAACUGCGAUGUUGUAAAGGCAUGUGCUGUGUAGGAGCCAGUGACUGCCUAGUUCAUGCAGUACUUGAGCAGGACAUGCUUUAGAGGAAGAAAAUAAAGUGAAGGAAACAGAAAAGCCAGUGAUGGAGAGAGAAACAACUAUCAAGCCAGAACUGGUUGUCACUUACUCUGGCCAGUUCUUUUUCCAAGGAUUAAAUAUAUUGUCUAAACUAGCUGUUAAUUGAUGACUAUUUUUAUUGCAAUUCUUUUCUUGUCAGCAAUAAUAAUGCUUCCAGACAAGCUCUUGCUCAAAGCUUUAUAUUUCUUUCCAUUCUUUCCCAUGUUUGCUCAUUAAAUAGUAUCCUUAUUAAUCCUCAUGCUUUCUCUUUAUUCUUCUUUUGCUGUUACAGUCAGUCUUUCCUGUUUGGGUUUCUAUUUUAAUGCUCCUCUUGCUCAUUAAGCACCUCGCCUACCUGAACCUGUUUCACACCAGUGAACUUGGAAGUCCUGUCUGCCUCAUUCUCUGUGUUGUACCCGCUCUUUCCAUCCACCCACAUGCUCCAUUGCUUGUACACUUCUACUCAGCCUCCUUUUUCUCCUGCAGUACACCCACAUGCUGGCA